rnacentral:tRNA from 1 species
AGGGACUUAGGCUAAUUAGACCGGGGGCCUUCAAAGCCCUUAGCAGGAGUAUGAAUCUCCUAGUCCUUA